rnacentral:lncRNA from 1 species
AUUGUCAAAGGAGGUUGGGUGUAGUUGGAUUGAUACUUCUGGAUAUCCACACUGUUUUGUAUCUAAAGAUAAGAAGCAUCCUCAGUACUGCAUGAUAAAUGAUAUGUUGGGAUAUUUAACCAUCAAUAUGAAGGAUGCUGGCUAUAAGCCUAAACUUGAACUAAUAGAAGAGUGGGUCUAUGGGCCAGAAGAAUAAAAAACUAUUAGUUCUCCCACUAUGUUGUUGUUCUCCCACUAUGUACCUUUGUACUCAUGACAUUUUUGGACAGGAUUUUGCUAGAGUUAAUAUGAUCGUAGUUUAUCAAUGACCAGCUGCCUUUGAAAUUCGAGGUAAUUAAGUUGUGCUUUAGCUUGUUUUAGUUUAGUUUUUUCUUCUGAAUUAUGAUUUUUUACUUUGUAAAGAUACUCAGAGGUAGGAUAUUCAGUAAGUGAAAUGUAUGCAUAUUUCUUUAUUAAUACAGAGCAAUCAAGAAUAUCCAUUUUACCUUUUUGGUGGGAAACGAGGAGUCCCAGAUAGCAAAAGAAGGGUCUUAUCCAAGAUGACAACUUCUAUCAAGCUGUCUGAUUGACUGAAGCACAUUUAAAUUAGGUGACCAGUUCUUUCCUUUGAAUAACUUAUACUUGUUCUGCAGGUCAACUUUUAAACUAUUGUAUUAAGGAUAUUCUUUGAUAUAGUCUUUGCAAGUUCAUGAGUGUUUUUAUAUUGGAGCCAAAUGGCAUUAAUAUCACUUGUGAAGGUUGAACCAGAUAACUAUUAAUAUGUCUGCUAAGGUUGGUUCAGCUAAUUAUAGUAUGUGAAUAUCAAUGGAACUGGCAUAAGUGGAGUUUAUCAUUUGUGAAAAUGGUUCUGAAGCUACAACAAAUCAUAUAGAUAUGAUAAUCUCAGAAAAUUUCCUUAUUAGGCUGUCGGCUUAAUUUAUUGGACAUUGACAAACAAAAGCUUUCUAUAAAUUAGGUCUAGUUCUAGUGAUUAGUAGGAGGUUUUAUUGAGUAAAUAUGCAUAUAGACUCUUGCCAACCAAAUAAGUUCCAAGUCCAUAUUAUCGUUACUUGGUUUAUUAGGUUCCACAUGCUUUCUUACAAGCUGUUUGGGUCAAUUUAAUGUGAAUUAUUGCUCUUCAGUUUUCACAAGGGACAGAGGGUUUAAACGGCCUCUUCUUUUGGAGUUUUCUCCUUUUGGAUAAGGUAAAUAGUUUUACUAAGAGUUAAUGGUCAAAAACACAUCCAAACUAUCACUUUUUGCGAGUUUCAUACCUCAACUAUCAUUGUUCGCUUUACCUACCUAAACUAUCACCCCUGUUGUAUUAAAACUCACCUUGGUGCUAGGUGGUUCAUUUGUGAACAUGCAGGGUAUAGAAUGGUUGUUUAUUAUCUGAAGAUAAUAUGCUUAAGUGAGUGAGAAACUGAUAAAGUCAUAUGGUACAUUGAUGUCGCUAGAUCCUAACAUUUGUAAUUUCUAAGUCUCUCUGGAUUAUCAAAAUGGUUUUCAUCAUCUUUCAUAAGAUGCACAUUGUGAACUAGUAGAGUAUUGCAGGGUUUGGCUGCCAAUUUUCCAGUUUCUGCAAGUAGGUCAAGAAUAUAGUUUCUCUGAGAUAGAAAAAUUCCCUUCUUGCUUCUAUUUACUUCUACUUCCAAAAAAUAUUUCAACCGGCUUAAGUCCAGACUUUAGGGAAGAGAUCCUCUCACAAUAAGAAGGAUAGUGCCAGCUGCAGAUAGUCGACCGAAAACAGAGUGAUUACAUUUGCUCAUUUUCAGCCCACACGCUUGAACUACCUCACUGAACUUGUCAAACCAAUCUCGCUGGUUGAAGCCAUACAAAGACUUCUUCAAAUGAUAGACUUUCCUAUACUCCCCCUAAGCAAUAAAAUCGGGUGGUUGUUCCAUAUACACUCCCUCUUAAAGAUCACCAUAAAGGAAUACAUUCUUGAUAUCUAACUGGUGUAAAGACCAGUUCUUGAUAACAACUAGAGAAAUGAACAAACGGACAUAAAUGAGUUUGGAAACCGGAGAAAAGGUGUCUGAAUAGUACCCCAUAAGUCUGAGCAUAUUCUUUAGCCACAAGCUUGGCCUUAAGUCUUGCCAUGGAACCUUCUGGAUUAACUUUAACUGUGAACACACACUUACAUCCUACUGCUUUAUUCCCAUUGAAUCUACCAAAUUUCAUGUGUGAUUUUCCUCAGAUGCAUGUGUUUCCUCAAGCAUCGCAUUUGAUCAUCUAGGAUGAUUCAAAGCCUUCUUCACAGUUUUGUGUAUAGAAACAGAGUCUAGAGAAGCACUCAAGGAUCUAGAUGUGGAAGAUAUGCGAUCAUAGGAAACAAAGUUAGCAAUGGAAUAUUUGGAUUGCAAGUCCGUGUACCUUUACGAAGUGCAAUAGGGAUGUCAAAAUUUUCUAAAAGGAUCAAGUAGGGAAGGAUUUGAUGACAAAGGAACUGGUGCUACACAUGUAUCAUCGGCCUCUCGUCACCUCGAAUAAACUUGAGCAAUUGACGGUUUUGCUGGAACAUGCGUCGAAGGUGCAACAGUUGUGUGGUGCUCAAUAGAGUAACUAAGAGAUGGAAAAAUAACAUCAUCUGAUUGCAUAACAUGAGUAACCUGAUAAAUUAACCACUCAUCUUCCACCCCCUUACUUGUAGAACUGCGAGAGAUAUAGAAGAAUAAUGUAGUUUUUGAAAAUAUCACAUCAUUUGACACCAAAUAGUUGCCAAGUUCAGUAGAAUAACAUUGAUACCCCCUCUAAAGACAAGAAUAACCCAAGAAAACACAUUUCAAUGCCUUAGGGUCCAACUUAGUAACAAACGGGAGUACCUCUCGAACAUAACACUUACUUCCGAAUACCUUUGGUUCCAUUGGAAAUAAUGACUUGUUUAGAAAAAGAAUAGUGUAAGGCAAAUUACAAACAAGCACCGUGGAUGACAUGCAAUUAAUCAAAAAACAAGCUGUAGAGAGUGUAUCAACCCAAACUUUUUAGGAACUUUCAUUUGGAACAUAAGUGCUCGGAUUGUCUCAAGUAGAUGCCCUAUUCUUACUCUCAUCAACUCCAUUUUGAGAAGGUGUAUCAACACAUGACGAUUGAUGGAGAAUAUCGUGUUUUCUCAAUAGGAUUGAAAUAAGUCUGACAUAUAUUCUUUAGCAUUAUCACUCCUUAAAAUACACAUCAAAGUAUUGAAUUAAGUUUUUAUUUCAACACAAAAGUGUGUAAACAUUUCAAAGAGACUUUUCAUGAAAUAAAUCCAAGUCAUUCGAUAGAAAUUAUCCACAAAAGUGACAAAAUACUUAUGUCCAGUUUUUGAAUCAAUGGGACGUGGUCCCCAAACAUCAUAAUGAAUUAGCGCAAAAGCUUACUCAAUCGGUUUAUUAACCCUUGGACGUAACGUGUUGCGAUGAUGUUUUGCAAAUUGACAUGAUUCACAUUUCAAAGAAGGAACAUUUUGAAACAGGGGGCAGAGCUUCUUUAACAAAAGUAAAGAAUGAUUUCCCAAUCGAUAAUGUGCUACAAAUAAAACCAUGACACUUGUGCAGACAACAAAUCGAGGCUCAUAUUUAUCAAGGAUAUAUAGAUCAUCAAAUAUAUAUCCUUUACCAAUAACCUUAUGUGUGGCAAGAUCACGAAACAUGCAUGAUCGGGAAAGAAUGAAAUAUAACAAUUAAGAUCUAUAAUAAGUUUACUCACAGAAAUCAAAUUGAAGGCCAACUUCGGCAUUUUUUUUUUUGAAAUAAGGGUAACUUUGUGUUCACAAAAAAAAUCAUCAUCCAAGAAAUGAUGAAUUGGAAACUUACAUCCCAUAGUAUGAUGGGCACACCCCUAUGAAGGUAACUAAAUUACAAGUUUCCUAAGAAAUCAACUACUUCUACCACCUCCCCCACCAAAUCUUGUUUACACCAAAGAAAUAGAAGACUAAUACAACUUGUUAAUCCUUUAAAAAGUAAUUUUUUUGUCCUUUAAAACACCUAGUAUUUCGGUUACCAAAAAAAACACCUAGUAUUUCUUUCCUUCCAUAUGGACCAAUAGCUACAUGUUGGGAAGAGCUUCCACCAUUCUUCCUUUUUCCUCUGCUUCCAACUCUUAGCCAACUCUUCAGAAGCUUUAAAGUAGUCUUUGGCAUCACCUAGCUAACCCUCCAAAUGCAUAAAACAUAUUCACAAAUUGGCAGCUAUUUGGCAAUGUAUGAGCAGAUGGUUGUUCACUUCAGCUUCCUGUUCACACAAGCACCUUGAACAAAUUUGCAUGCCUCUUUUCUGUAGGGCCUCAUGAGUAAGACAUGUUUUUCUGAUUAGUAUCCAAACAAAACAUGAGACUUUCAAUGGACAUUUCACCUUCAAAAACAGUUUCUAGGGCCGUCUCUCAAUCAGUAGGACAUUAUAAUUCAUCUUCCAAUAGCUUGAUUUCACUAUAUAGAUCCUUUUGUUGUGUAUUUCCCAUAUUGGCUUAUCAAACCUCUAAGAAGUACCUGGGAAAUCAUUAAGAACCCCUAAUAGCUUGGCAAUCUCCUCAAUUUCACAAUCAUUCAAUGCUCUCCUUCAAAGUAGAUUCCAACCCUGUUUACUCCAGGCUUGUUCCACAGUGUCAUUUUUCUGCAUACUCAAUGUAUAUAGAAGAGGUAAUAGGUUUCUCAAACUGUCUUCCUCUAUCUAUAUUUCAUUCAUGAACUCUGUCUUCAGUCCAUCCCCAACACUAAUACAUAUGCUGUUUUUGAAAUGUGGCUAUUGUCUUCUAAUGGUCUUCCAAACACUGCAUCUAAAUGUGCCAUAACCUCUUCAGUUGUCCACCGGUUAAAUAAACCAUACUUUCCUGAUAUAAAUCUUCUCCAUAUGGCUCUAUAUUCUAUGCAGAAUCUCCAUAGCCACUUUGGGAGUAAACUACUAUUUUGGAGACUUAGGUUCUUCAAUCUUAGCCUCCUUGGUUUUUGCUAAGUGUGAGAGUAUCCCACUUCACCAAGUUGCAGCCUUCCUUUUCCUUGUUGCCUUGCCAAAGAAAAGAUCUCCUGAGCCUAUUUAUAUUCUUCUCAAUGUUCUUGGGGACUGGAAAUAAACUCAUCAUAUAAGUAAAUGAUCCAUCUAAUACUGAUUUGAUGAGGGUCACCCUGCCACCCGUGGACAAAUACUAGUUUUUUCAUUGGGCUAGUUUCUUCUCACAUCUCUCCAACACCACAAUGCACACUUCCAGCUCUUUGCUCUUAGCACCCAAAGGUAGUUCCAGAUAUUUUGUUGGUUGUGCAUCUACCUAGCAACUCAAUGUCUCGGCUAGCCCAAGAAAAUUGUCAACUAAGUUGAUAGGGAGGAGAUGACUCUUCAACCAAUUGACAUGGAGGCUUGAAAUGCUCUACUAAAUAGUGAGUAUAGCACUUAUGUGUCUAAUUUGUGCCUCCUUUGCCUUACAGAACAUAAGAGCAUCAUCAACAUAGAAAAAGUGUGUGAUCUCCAGCUCCUUCCCUGUCCCAGCAAGUGCACUAAAUCCUCUCCCAUCCAUUAGUCUUUGCCUUCUGGAACAUGUGAACCCUCCAGGGCUAUUAAGAAUAGGAAUAGGGACAUAGGAUCUCCCUGUCUAAGACCUCUCUGAGAUUGGAAGAAUCCUUCAGUGUUUCCAUUUAUGAGGAGGGAAAACUUCACACUUGAAAUGCAGUUAUUGAUCCAGCCAAUCCACUUGCUACCAAAUCCCAUGUCCUUUAGAAUUUUUAGAAGGAAAUUCCAGUUAACAUGGUCAUAGGUUUUAUCAAUGUCUAGCUUGCAUAGAAUCCUCAGUUUCUUCUGCUUUACCAUGGAGUUGACCAAUUCAUUAGCCAACAAUGUUGCAUCCAUUAUUUGCCUACAUCUCAAAAAAGCCAUUUGGUGUUCAUCAACCAAUUUCACUAUCACUGUCUUCAUUCUCUCAGUUAGCAACUUGGAGAUGAUUUUAUAGACUACUCCUAUCAAACUGAUUGGUCUGAAGUCUUUUAGCUCAAUUGCAUCAGGUUUCUUUGGGAUUAAAGCGAUGAAUGUAACAUUAAAUGAUUUCUCAAAUGCACUCCUCUGAUGGAAAUUUUGUAUACUCAACAUUAAAGCCCUCUUUCAAAAUAUCCCAACAUUUCUUAAAGAAAUCCAUAGUGAAGUCAUCAGGGACAUGUGCUUUGUCCCUAUCACACUGGUUGAUGAUCAGUAGCACUUCCUCAUCUGUAAAUGGUCUUUGUAACCUUUCAUUUUCAUCUACAGAGACUGUUGGAUAUCCUACAAAAUCAAAAGAGGGUCUCUAGGAUUCAAGUUCUGAGUAGAGUCUGGCAUUUAAUACAGAUGAUAGGGUAAUAGAGGAAGUUGCUUUAAUGGUUCCAAAUCCCACAAUGUUAUGUGUUGAGCCAUCAACUACCAUUACUUGAGAGGGUGCUUUGUGUAGUCGAAAGGUAGAAAAUAUAUUCGGAUUACGUGUCAUGUGAUUGUGUCAUGUGAUUUGUAGUACCUGAAUCAAUCGCCCAGCUGUUCAAAGAGGAGACCGCAUAUGCUUUUCUUGAAUCAACAAGGGUAGUAGUUGAAAUGAAUUCUUUAAAGGAUUAUCGAUACUAAGAGGACUCCGCAAACUCAUUCGCCGAAACCAAAAUUGUCUUACCCUCAUAAUUUAUAGCCAUAUUUACUCCUUUCUAAUUGUUUGAGUUAUAGUUUCCAACAUAAAAUACCCAAAAUAUCAAUAUAUGAGAAGCCAACAAACACAAACAAUACCAACAAAUACAAUCCAGUACUGAAAAAGCAAUUCUUUAAUAUCAAGACAUGCAAAAUUUUAUGGGAUUAAAUCCAUACAAAAUUUGAACGAAGUUAUAAAUUCACGACAUUGACCCAAGUCAAUAUUUUGGGUUAAUAAAGUCGGAUUAAUUAUUUAAGUCAAGAUUGCAUGACUUAAGUCAAAUCCAACUACAUUGGGCUAGGUUGGGCCUCUACAAAAUGGUCCCCCCACUUGUUUUAAGCCCAAGGGUCCAUUAUGAUUACUUGGAGGCUACCCUAAAACCUUCAUCAAUGCCUAUAUAAAAUAAAGGGGCUACAUUUCUCUUUGGAAGCAUUUUGGAAAUUCUAUAACAUCUUUGAAGAUUCUAAGAUGGAAUUGGACAAAGACAAGAGAGUGUUCGACUGGAACAACGGCCAACAAAGACUAAUUACAUAGAUAACUACUCCUCCCUUCUCCUUAAGGCGUUAAGGCGAACUGUGUAGAGGUAGGAAAGAAAGACGUCCUCACCUUCUUUGGUAUCAGUGAGAGCAAUUUGAGUAUCCCUCGUGCACCUUCUUUUGUAGAUAGAAUCCUUAAUGAGUGGAAAUAAGCAACCUUACUAAGAAAGGUGCUUGUUGAGUAAGGACGACUUUCAGGCCAACCCUUGGUAUAGGUUGGGCACUUGAGCGCAUGAUUGGUCCAUUGAAUAUUGUAUAGGCCCCUAAGCCUCUCGAGCGCAGGGAUGCACACAUCUUAUAUAUCAUGAUCAUGUCAAUGCAAUCAACACGCCAAAUUUCAUUUAUUUGUUCUAUUAAGUACUUCUUUCACGCCAUUAGCUUUGAAAUUGUCUCCCUUUGCCAGUUCACCUCGAUGAAAUACUUAAGAAUAGCCUAGCUUUAGAAGGUCAUUAAUAAUAUUUGAUUCCAAGAAAUUAGCAACCAAUUCUCCCAACAAAAUAAUUGUAGUCGAAGUCAAAUAUCAAAUUAAUUUGACAUAAGGAUCAAGCAUCCACAAAACACUAUUAAUUCAAUAUUGAGCAAAACUAAACAAAUCGUGACAACACCAAAUAGAAACCAGAUCUAAAUCACAAAAGCUUCAGGGAAAAUAUGAGCUUGGAAGUAGUUUUCAGAAAACAAUAUGAACCUAGAAGUGACGAAGAGUUACCCAAACAGUGUUUCAACACUAAACAAAACUCAGGGUACGUCGAAACUGAUAAGACGACACCGGAUGUUCAAUCUUUGAAAGAUUUUGAUGGAGCACGCGCCUCCACACGUCGACGCGUGACUGACAAAUGAGAGAUGUAGCUGGUGCGUGGUGGAAAUUGAUCACUUUGAAAGUGAUCGAAAGGAUGAUCUGCCUCCUCCCACAGUGGCGGUGACACAAAUUGACCACUUUGAAAGUGAUUGAUUUGAAAUUUGACUCUGUUUCUGUAAGACAACAAAACAAGAUCGAGUUGCCUCAAAACAUAGCCAAAACAAGAUCAAGGAACCUAUAGGCUCUGAUACCAUUGAAUGGAAGUUGAUGAUCUUAUUCCAAUAAGUAAGCAAGAUAUAAAUAUAAUACAUUAGGUGCUAACUUAGGAAAGAAAAUAAAGAGGGAAUCCUACAAAUCUGCUAGCUAAUUUUUUUUUGUUGAUUGUAGCGUUCGGGCCAACUUUCGCGCACCUUGACUAAUUAUAAGAGAUUUCAACAAAUUUACUAGCUAAUUAUGCCUAUGUACAUUACUAAGAAUGAUGUCUAUAUACAUUUUGUAACAAUUAGUCCUUUUGACCACAUUUAUAUGAGGUAGUUUGACUUGAUACGCAGUCAAAGAAAGAAAGAAAGACUUUUGAAAAUUGUGGCUAAAUUAAGUCAUAAAUGUUUGUGUGACUAUAGAUCAUCUCAUUAAGGAUAAAAUGAACAUUUUAAAGUUAAUUUUUUUACUAAAAAUAGAACUGUGUCAUUCCUUUUGGGACUAACUAAAAUGGAAAGUAAAUUAUAUAAACUGGGAUAGAAGAGUAUAUAUAUGUGUGUGAUUCCUUUUUGGCUGAAUGAUUGUUUUCGUAGGUGAUAAAGCUUAUAAUUGUAGAUUGAUUUACUCAGAAGUUUGCUUUUACUGUGCUUUGUGAUCAUCAGGUUCUGCUUGUUGUGCUGACGUUUUCUGGUACUCUUCUUUAAUAUGCUUUAGUUUAGGAAAGUUAAUUUUUAGAGAUAUGAUAGUUCUUUGAAGGGAAAAAGUAAGAUCUUUCAUGGCUUUCUCUUUUAGAUUUUUUGUCAUGGUUCUGUAAAACUUUCCUUUUUCGAUCUGCUUUGAUAUGCUUUUCCUUGAGUUGAGGGUCAAUCAAAAAAUCUUAUUUUAGAUGCACAAUAUUUAUGGUAGUUUUUGGUCAUAUAUUAACACUCAUCCGUUUUAUGAAUCCUCUUCAAGAGCUUACUUUUUUCAUGUUUGAGCCUUUCCUUGUAGAUCUAAAAGAAAAUGAACACCAAUCAAACAUGCAACAACUCCUUCUGGACUAAGGAGGAGGAUAAACUCUUUGAGAAUACUGUUGCGAUCAACAAGGAUAACAACAAUCUAUUAGAGGAAAUGGAAGAAGCACUUCCUGGGAAAUCGGCUGGUGAAGAUAUAUUAAUUGAAGAUAUCAAUGUCAUCGAGUCUGGAUAUGUCCCAUUACCUAAUCAUCCUGAAAUGCAAAACCAGAAUUCAAAAGCAGAUGCAGAAUGGCGAAAAGGGGCUUCUUGGACAGAACAGGAACACAUGUCAGUUUCUAGUACAGUUCUUGAUGACGACAUGAAUAAUCUGAAUUGAAGUUUAAAUCAUUUCUUGUAAUUGAUUGCACGAUUUACAUUUUUACUAAAACGGAAUUUCCAAUAUUCUUAUUUCUCACUGACCAUCUUGGUGUGCUUCUAAACAUCUCAUAUAUUAUUAUGUUUCUAGGUGGAUAGAGUACAUCUUCGUAUAUGUCAUAGGUGUAUUUGGUCUUCAUAAAAGCUUCAGUUCUGGAGAUAUUUUGUGUAACUUGUAGCUAAGACAAACGGUGCUUACACGUAUUUCAUCUAAUUGAAUAUCACGUGAAGAGUCCCUUUUAUGCUGUCCUGCGAUCUUGUUUCCUGGAUUAACUUCAAAGCUGAUAAUAACUUAUUUCUCUAUCUUUCCUGCUAUAGGUCAUUUCUCCGGGGCAUAGAAAUAAAUGAUAAAGGUGACUGGAGAAGUAUAUCUAGGCACUGUGUGAUAACAAGAACAGCAAAGCAGGAGGAUGCUGAAGCCACAGGAACUUCCCAAGUUCCACACACCGAGUAUAUUAUUGGGUCUGCUUACGGAGGAUCACAAGCAGUGCCAAACACUAGCAAUGAGAGCAUGUUGCCUCGAGAAAGCACCAAUGCGGAGCAGAUGAUAGAAGUUGUUGGAGGAGAGUCCACAGACCAUAAUGCUGUUGUCAAUGUUGGGUCUGAUGUGAAUGUUGAUGCUGGAAGUUCCCUAUUACCCAGCAAACAAUCAUGUACUGCUGCUAGCAGUGGAACUUACGGUCAUCCUAUCUCUAGAAUUGGGAGUGAACUUGAAGCACUGCUCACUGAACCCAUGGAUGAAGAUAAUGAUAUUACUACCAUUUUUGAUGUUGGGAAAGCACCAACUUCUUAUCCUGUGCUGUUCGAUGCUACUUUAAGCGGAGUCCCCCGCUAUUCAGCUGCAGAGGCGGCUCUUGCUCAGUUACCUCCCUUUGAUGAUGAAGGCAUUUUUGAUCCGGAUGACCUGUUCACAGAUCCGAUGUUCUGAUUUGGUGGAGGAGAGGCACUUUUUUUUUUUUUUUUUGAAGACAUGCCAUUAUGUUAGUCAGUAUUGCUCUUCUUUAUCUAUUCUUAAUCUGCUUUAGGGAGCAAGAUUUUGUGUAUCUUCAAACUCUUUUGAGAGACUAGGUGGAUUUUGGUUGAAAAUUUUCAAAAGAAAAUGGUAGCAAUUUGAUUUCUUGCAAGCUCUUUGUUUAUGUAGUUUGUUGGUUUAUCUUUUUGCCAAAACCUCUUACAAGCUAAUGGUUCAGACUAGAAUCAAAUGCUACUAAGCUAAGUGUAUUUCUGUAUUCUUAUGGCUACCUGAUCAUAAAACAUAUCUAAUGUUAUGAGGAGCCCACCACCAGCGGGGUGGGACGAGGGUGGGGUGUCUGGACCGUUGUGAUUGUUUAAUCGAUCAAAUGAUCAAACUGCUUCUUAAUGUAUGGGGUGGGACUAUUUUAGUCUUUCAUAAAUACCACUUAACCAGUAUAGACCUUAAUGUAUAGAAAAAAGUGAUCUUUUUCCUUCUGCCACCAGUGUGUGCCUGCAACAAUGGAGUGUACAUUUUUAUUGCUUUCCUUAUCACGUAGUUUUGUUCUUGCAGCAAGACUCCCAGUUGGUUUAAAGUUUCGAAGGCAGCCAUAUAUUAAUUAUUGGUGCAAGAGUUUCCAUCAAAGGUAGAAAAAAAUUGCUCUUUCUUCUCAUCAUAUCAGAUUUGGUUUUCGUCUAAGUUGACCUCAUUUAGAGAAAGCUUUCUCAAAGGACCGCAGUUGAUGAGUUAACCAAGCUUGAAAGUUGCAACCAUGUUUAGAGAGAAUACUAAUAUAUAAUCUUGUCUCUUUAAAACUAAUAUAUAUGAGUAUUUUGUAAAUGAGGCAUUCAGGUAAUAUGUCUCCUUGUGGUCACAUAAUUCUUCUUAUUAAUGUGCAAACAGCCAAACAUACCUUAAAUACCUGAUUUUGUAGUUUGAUUUUGCUGCAAAACUUGAUAAUCAGCUCUUUGUCACGCUUCUGCAAUUUCCAUCCAGCAUUCUUUCCUUAUGAUGCUGAGUAAAUUUAGUCCUCAAUCAUCGAAAGGAAACAUCAGGUGCACAGGUACCACAUAGUGUUACGAAAACUGGUGUACCCUUAGGCCUUAGCGCUUAUACUAAGCUCAAGUAUUAUACUAAAUGCAACAACAUAUUGAGGACAACACUCAUUUCAUAAAGGUGUGCUUAUACUAAAGAGCUAUGGCUCAAAUAUUACAACUUCUUCUUGUCUCUUAAUGUUGUGGAAUCGAAUCCACUAUAUAGAGUCAACUGCUUGAGCAGUUUAGCCAUUUUGAGCAAUGUUUCUCAACAAUGGUGAGAUUCAUUCUCUCAGCUACACCAUUGUCUUUUCAUGUCUGAUCUCAUUGCUUGAAUAUUACUGCUCAAAUUCCAUUGUCAGUGUAGAGACGCUUUAGCUUUCUACCUGUCUCCCUUUUCACCAUAGCAUGAAACUUCUGGAAUACUUGAAACACCGGAUGUUUGGUUUUCAAGAUAUAAACCCACAACUUUCGUGAAGUAUAGUCUAAAUUGACCUCAUUUAGAGAAAACUUUCUCAAAGAACGUUAUUCCUUUUUAAAAUAUUGUCACUUCAUGAUAACCAUAAAGAGUGGACUGAUUCAAGGAUGACAUUAAUAAUAUUUGUUAUUAUUCCCUUUUAUGAUCCAGUAGGAGUCAAUUUUUCCUUUGUGAAGCUGUACUUGUACUAAGUGUAAAGUCACAAUAUUCAUCACAUGAAGGAGUAAGUGAGCUCCGAGAUGUUGAAUCUGUUGCACGAGGAAGAGGAAAGAAAGGGAAAAGAAGAGUAUAUAAAACGUUGUGUGUAUAUCAUAACGCCAACCUCAAAAAUAGAGUCGACUGCUUCAAGGAUUGACAACGAUUGAUUUAUCUGAUAACAAACCUUCAAAUCCACAUGUCUACAAAAAUAUAUUGGAAUCUUGAUACUGCCUGGUAAUUUUUUGACUUAAAUAAACAACACCAAUGAAAUGAUAGUUAGAGAUAAUCUAUCCUCACCAAUAGAUUAAUAAACUUUAGAGAGAAAUUAACUGCAUCACCAAUCUAAUAAAAAUUAUUAUUUCACUCUCUUUGUAAGGCUCCUUCGUGCUAGCUUCCAAUUUCUGAGUUCCACAGGAUUUUCCGAUCAAAUUUGUAGGCUUUUACUUCUUUUAAAUGUCAAUGGCUAGGCAUUCUUUCAUGAAAAGUAGACUGACUCAAAUUCUUCAUAUACAUCAAACGAUCCAUGAAACUGUAACCAUUUCACUUGUUGAUUGCAGGUUAAGUCUCCUCGGAUGACAACUCAAUAGCAAAGCAGUCACAAGCAUUGAAAACUCCUAAAGUGAGGCACUAUAUAUCUAUAUCUAAAAUGACAACUUGGCCUGGGGUAUAACAACUGUGUGUGCCCUCUGAACUUAUUUUUUUUUGUCAAAAUGGAUGGAAACUUGAGACCAUGAGACCGAGUUUGAUAGAAAUUUGUUCAACUUACAAAGCCAUGCCAAAUCUAAAUUGUGGCAAAGCAAAUCUAUUUUUGAGUGCUUUAGCUGUCUUGACUCUAUUGCAACUUUCAGCUCAAGAAUCAUAAAUCCCGUAUAUAUUCUAGCGAAUACCAAAUUUGGAGCAUCAAUCUUCCUUGUGCCACCUGAAUCGUCCUUAAUCUUCAAGAGAUUUAGGAAAUUGAGAUGUAGAAAUAAGGUGCUCGAGAUUCCAUCACAUGUCCACAUUCAGUAACAUCCAAAUUGUCUGGGGAAGAACUAGAAUAAUACAAGUGUUCAAGAUUGAUGCUUUAACACCCUGGUUUCUUGUUGUACAUAUGAAAACUGACCUGAUCUUUUGAAGAUUUAGCAGCUCAAUCUUUUUCAACCUUCUAUAACAAUGCUCAAGUGUGAGUUAGUGAUUGACCUCCAUCACCUGACAAAAAAGUAAUAGCAUCACAAGAAAAGAUCGCGUUGAAGUUGGUUAUAAGCGAAUUUCGUCCUCUGAAUAGAUAGCUAAAUAAUCAUUUGGCAAAGGUAGUUCUUAAAUGUUCACUUCUUUUCCCUUCUAUCUUUGUCUACAUUCUUUGUUUCCGGGCAGGGGGUGAAGGACAUAAGAGAAGAUUUUUCCUAUAGGUAAGGAAGAGGCGAAAAAGGAGCAUUAGUCACUAAGCCCAUGGACGAAGACAAUGAUAUCAGUUCCAUUUUUGAUGUUGGGAAAGCACCAACUGCUCAUAGUGGAAUGUCCAGAUAUAUAUGCAGCUGCAGGGGCAACUCUUGCUUAGUCACCUCCCUUUGCCCCCUCAGCUAAACUCCCAUUGACGAUGAAGGCACUUUUAAUAUGCAUGACUUGUUCACAGAUCAGAUGUUCUGAUUUGAUGGAGGAGAAGCUGUUAAGUUUGAUAUUAGUUGCUCACAACCAGAUAGGCUGUUAAUAUUGAUACUGCACUUGGUUUUUUGAAGAUCUGUUUAUCAAUUAAAUGAUCAAAAUGGUCCUUAAUGUAUGGGGUUGGACUAUUUUAGUCAUUUAUAUAUACCUCGUAAUCGAAAUAUGUGUAGAAAAAGUGACCUUUUUCCUCCCGCCACCACCUUUAAUAUAUCAUUUUUUCAUAUAUUAAGGACUAUUUUGAUAUGAUAUAUAUGAACUAAAAGGAUCACUUUUCUGUACAUUAAGGACUAUUUCUGUUUAAACUCCCCCUUCUGACAUGUUAUGUGAACUCCCUGUCUUGCAAAAGUAAUAGCCAAUGUGGUUUUUAGUUGUUGCAGCAAAUAGAUUUCAUGUAAUACAUGUCAGAGUUCACAUUGAAAACAAAACACCAAGAGAUUGUCUCCUUGCAAAUGUCUAUUUGUUCAAUUGUGUAAAUAAAUUGCAAACAUGAUCCAAUUAAUAAAGGGGAAAUUGUAUAAAAUAACAAACUAUUAAUUCAAAAUAAAUGUUAUAACCACAGUUUCAAUUAAUUCUGAUCCGUAGCAAACACUUUGUCAUUUCCCUCUCUCUCCUGCAUCUCACUCGCCACUCUCCUUGAAUCUCGCUCGCCACACUCCCUCACCUCUCUCACUUUAUACAAACACAAAUGUAUAAAUUGUGUUUGUAUAAAGCGAAAGAGAACUGUAUAUGCAAAUACAAAUACAUAUUUCUUCGUCCUACACACUUAUAAUUAUACAAAUACAAAUUUUCUCCUGCUCAAUUCUCUUUUUGUUUUUCUCUCUUUUUCACUUUAUACAAACACAAAUUACAUAUACAUAUACAAACACAAUUUUCAUAGACACAAACAUCCAUUUAAUACGAAUCUCCGUGAUUUAUACAAAUCGUUGCGAUUUAUACAAAUAAGAUGCUUACGAUUUUAUGCAAUCAGAUGUUGCUUGUGAUUUUAUUCAAAUUUGAUGCUCCAUAGCAAACAUGCAAAUAGAAAAAGUGUAGCUAUAAAACGUUAAUAUGAUUUUUUAUGUUUUCUAAACCUAAUAUUUACUCAAUUAAUGUCUUUGAAAUUGGUAACUAAAUAAUUUUGUGAGAUAAAAUAUAAUUUCCUUGAAGAAGAUAAAGUUUUAAAAAUAUGUCUUCCAUCUUUUGACAAUUCUUUUGAUUUCAAUUUUUCAUUUAAUAUAUUUUAGAAUAGAAACAUAUCUUUAUUUUUAAAUUAAAAAUUUUAAUUUUUUUUUUCUAAAAUUACUCACUCCGUUUAAAAAAUAAUGACCUAGUUUGACUUGGAACGGAAUUUAAAAAAAGAAAGAAAGUUUUUAAUUUUGUGGUUCUAAAUUAAAGUUAUGUCAAACGUACCAAAAUGUUCUUUAAUCUUGUGGCCUGAAACAUAUCACGUGAAAGAUUGAAGUUAAAGUAUUGACAAAAAAGGAAAAAAGAUUAUUCUUUUUUAAACGGACUAAAAAGGAAAUCUGAUCAUUUUUUUUGAAAUAGAAUACUUGUUAGGUUAAAAUUAGACAAACAAAUAGUGAAUGAGUAAUUGUAAGACCAAACCAUUGUCUUCUUCCUCUUCCUUCAACUUUCUCACAGUCUCCAUCUUUGAGCUUAACCCAUCUCCCAAAUUACUCUUCUUUACCCCUCACCGACCAACAAUGCACUCUUACAGACUCAAAACCCAGAACAAUUCGCUUUCGUUUAAGCGAAUUGUGCAGACAAGGCCAACCCCAUCUACUGUUCGAUACAAUUCCUCAACCAACAACUGUGCUUUGGAACACAAUAAUAAUUGGGUUUAUCUGUAAUAACAUGCCCCAUGAAGCCAUUUCAUUCUAUUCUCGAUUGAAUCAUGUGGGUUCAUCCAUAUGUGAUCAGUAUACUUAUUCCUCUGUUCUCAAGGCUUGCGCGGAGACCAAACGGAUUCUUGUAGGUAAAGCUGUGCAUUGCCACAUUCUGCGUUCUGGGAUUCAUCCUAGUAGGAUUGUUAGUAAUUCUUUGUUGAAUAUGUACUCUGCUACUUGUCUUACAUUGGAUAAUGGUUCUGAUUGUGAUUUAGUUGAAAGGGUGUUUAGAACUAUGCGUAAAAGAAAUGUUGUUGGGUGGAAUACUAUUUUUUCAUGGUAUGUGAAAAGGAAGAGGUUUUCGGAAGCAGUGAGGUGUUUUGUUAUGAUGAUGAGAUUAGGUAUUAAGCCAACUGUUGUUAGUUUUAUUAAUGUUUUUCCUGCUGUAUCAGAAAUAGGGGAUGUUAGAGUUGCUUAUGUUCUUUAUGGGUUGCUUGUGAAAUUGGGUAAUGCAUAUGUAAAUGACUUGUUUGUUGUUAGUGCUGCCAUUGUUAUGUAUGCUGAGCUUGGUUGCAUUGAUCUGGCAACCAGAAUAUUUGAGAAUACUUGUGAAAGAAAUAUAGAGAUCUGGAACUCUAUGAUUAGCGGGUACAUUCAGAACAAUUUUCCUUUAAAAGCUGUUGAUCUCUUUCUUGAAGCUGUAGAAGCAGAGGAUGCUGUUACUACUGAUGAUGUGACAUUUGUAUCCGCUCUUAUGGCAACUUCACAGUUGCAGCAUUUGGAGUUUGCCCAAUAGCUACAUGCAUGUCUGAUAAAGAAAUGCAAGGAUUCACAGGUUAUUUCGCUUAAUGCUAUGAUAGCCACAUACUCUAGGUGUAACCAUGUUCUACUCUUUGCAGCAGAAUGGUUUAGAACCAGAUGCUGUUACCUUUGUAGCAGUCCUGUCUACUUGCAGCUACACCGGAUUGGCCGGUACAGGCCUUUAAAUAUUUGAGCUGAUGGGUGAAGAAUAUGGGAUUCAGCCAUCAGCAGAGCACUAUGCUUGUGUGGUUGACAUGUUAGGAGAGUUGGACGGUUGGAUGAAGCUCAUAAUUUUUCUAAACACUUGGGUGUUGAGGGUAAUGUCUUGGGAAGAUGGGGAUCACUCCUUGCAGCCUGCAGAGUGCAUAUAAAUUUUGAAUUGGGGUAAAUUGUUUCCAGUAAGCUGCUUGAAUUAGAGGGGAGUGAUGGAAUUUAUGGUUAUCAUAUUCUGCUUUCAAAUAUAUAUGCAGAGGUAGGAAACUGGCAGUCUGUCAAUAACGUCAGAAGAGGAAUGCUCAAAAUGAGAUUGUCAAAGGAGGUUGGGUGUAGUUGGAUUGAUACUUCUGGAUAUCCACACUGUUUUGUAUCUAAAGAUAAGAAGCUUCCUCAGUACUGCAUGAUAUAUGAUAUGUUGGGAUAUUUAACCAUCAAUAUGUAGGAUGCUGGCUAUAAGCCUAAACUUGAACUAAUAGAAGAGUGGAUCUAUGGGCUAGAAGAAUAAAAAACUAUUAGUUCUCCCACUAUGUUGUUGUUCUCGGACUAUGUAGCUUUGUAUUCAUGAUAUUUUUGGACAGGAUUUUGCUAGAGUUAAUAUGAUCGUAGUUUAUCAAUGACCAGCUGCCUUUGAAAUUCGAGGUAAUUAAGUUGUGUUUUAGCUUUUUUUAGUUUAGUUUUUUCUUCUGAAUUAUGCUUUUUUACUUUGUAAAGAUACUCAGAAGUAGGAUAUUCAGUUAGUGAAAUAUAUGUAUAAUUCUUUAUUACNNNNNNNNNNNNNNNNNNNNNNNNNNNNNNNNNNNNNNNNNNNNNNNNNUCAAGAAUAUCCAUUUUACCUUUUUGGUGGGAAACGAGGAGUCCCAGAUCGCAAAAGAAGGGUCUUAUCCAAAAUGACAACUUCUAUCAAGCUGUCUGAUUGACUGAAGCACAUGUAAAUUAGGUGACCAGUUCUUUCCUUUGAAUAACUUAUACUUGUCCUGCAGGUCGACUUUUAAACUGUUGUAUUAAGGAUUUUCUUUGAUAUAGUGUUUGCAAGUUCAUGCGUGUUUUUAUAUUGGAGCCAAAUGGCAUUAAUAACACUUGUUAAGGUUGGUCCAGAUAACUAUUAAUAUGUCUGCUAAGGUUGGUUCAAUCAGUGGGAUAUUAUAGUUCAUCUUUCAAUAGCAUGAUUUCACUAUAUAGACCCUUUUGUUGUGUAUUUUUCAUCUUGGCUUAUCAAACCUCUAAGAAGUACUUAGGAAAUCAUUAAGAACCCCUAAUAGUUUAGCAACCUCCUCAAUUUCACAAUCAUUCAAUGCGCUCCUAAAAAGUAGAUUCCAACCGUGUUGACUCCAGGCUUGUUCCACAGUGUCAUUGUUCUGCAUACUCAAUGUAUAUAGAAGAGGGAAUAGGUUUCUAAAACUGUCUUCUUCUAUCUAUCUUUCAUUCAAGAACUCUGUCUUCCGUCCAUCCCCAACACCUAAUACAUAUGUUGUUUUUGAAAUGUGGCCAUAGUCUUCUAAUGGUCUUCCAAACACUGCAUCCAAAUGUGCCCAUCACCUCUUCAGUUGUCCAUUGGUUAAAUAAACCAUACUUUCCUGAUAUAAAUCUCUUCUAUAAGGCUCUAUAUUCUAUACAGAAUGUCCAUAGCCACUUUUGGAGUAAACUACUGUUUUAGAGACUUAGGUCCUUCAACCCUAGCCUCCUUGGUUUUUGCUAAGUGUGAGAGUAUCCCACUUCACCAAGUUGUAGCCUUCCCUUUCCUUAUUGCCUUGCCAAAGAAAAGAUAUCCUGAGCCUAUUUAUUUUCUUCUCAAUGUUCUUGGGGACUGGAAAUAAACUCAUCAUAUAAGUAGGUGAUUCAUCUAAUACUGUCUUGAUGAGGGUCACCCUACCACCUAUGGACAAAUACUAGCUUCUUCACCGGGCUUAUUUUCUCCCACAUCUCUCCAACACCACAUUGCACACUUCCAGCUCUUUGUUCUUAGCACCCAAAGGUAGUUCCAGAUAUUUUGUUGGUUGUGCAUCUACCUAGCAACUCAAUGUCUCAACUAGCCCAAGAAAAUUGUCAACUUGCUUGAUAUGGAGGAGAUGACUCUUCAGCCAAUUGACAUGGAGGCUUGAAAUGCUCUGCUAAAUAGUGAGUAUUGCCCUUAUGUGUCUAAUUUGUUCCUCCUUUGCCUCAUAGAAUAUAAGAGCAUCAUCAACAUAGAAUAAAUGUGUUAUCUGCAGCUCCUUCCCUCUCCCAGAAAGUGCACUAAAUCCUCUCCAACCCAUUACUCUUUGCCUUCCGGAACAUGUGAUUCAACCCCUUCAUGGCUAUUAAGAAUAGGAAUAGGGACAUAGGAUCUCCCUGUCUAAGACCUCUCUGAGAUUGGAAGAAUCCUUCAGUGUUUCCAUUUAUGAGGAGGGAAAACUUCACACUUGAAAUGCAGUUAUUGAUCCAGCCAAUCCACUUGCUACCAAAUCCCAUGUCCUUUAGUUUUUUUAGAAGGAAAUUCCAAUUAACAUGUUCAUAGGUUUUCUCAAUGUCUAGCUUGCAUAGAAUCCUAGGUUUUUUCUGCCUUACCUUGGAGUUGACCAUUUCAUUAGCCAACAAUGCUGCAUCCAUUAUUUGCCUACAUCUUAAAAAAGACAUUUGGUGUUCAUCAACCAAUUUCACUAUCACUGUCUUCAUUCUCUCAGAUAGCAACUUGGAGUUGAUUUUAUUGACUACUCCUAUCAAACUGAUAGGUCUAAAGUCUUUUAGCUCAAUUGCAUCAGGUUUCUUUGGGAUUGAAGGGAUCAAUAUAGCAUUAAAUGAUUUCUCAAACGCACUCCUUUGAUGGAAAUUUUUUGUGCUCAACAUUCAGUUCUCUUUCAAAAUAUCCCAACAUUUCUUAAAGAAAUCCAUAGUGAAGUCAUCAGGGUCUGGUGCUUUGUCCCCGUCAUACUGGUUGAUGAUCAAUAACACUUCCUCUUCUGUAAAUGGUCUUUGUAACCAUUCAUUUUCUUCUAUAGACUGUUGGACAUCCUACAAAAUGAAAAGAGGGUCUCUAGGAUUCAAGUUCCGAGUAGAGUCUGGCAUUUAAUUCAUAUGACAUGGCUAUAAAAUAGGUUGCUUUAGUGGUUCCAAAUCCCACAAUGUUAUGUGUUGAGCCAUCAACUACCAUUACUUGAGAGGGUUCUUUGUGUGAUCGAAAGGUAGAAAAUAUAUUAGGAUUACGUGUCAUGUAAUUACUAGUACCUGUAUCAAUCACCCAGUUGUUCAAAGAGGAGAUCGCAUAUGCUUUUCUUGAAUCAACAAGGGUAGUAACUGAAGUGAAUUCUUUAAGGGAUUCUUGAUACUAAGAGGACUCGCAAACUCAUUCGCCGAAACCAAAAUUGUCUUACCCUAAUAAUUUAUAUUUAUUUGAGUUAUAGUUUCAACUCAAAAUAUUAAUAUAGGAGAAGCUAACAAACACAAACAAUACCAACAUAUACAAUCCAGUACUGAAAAGGCAAUUUGUUAAUAUCAAGACAUGCAAAAUUUUAUGGCAAAAUUUUAUGGGAUUAAGUCCAUAUAAAAUUUGAACGAAUUUAUAAAUUCAAGACAUAUUGACCUAAGUGAACAUUUUGGGUUAAUACAGCCAAAUUAAUUAUUUAAGUCAAGAUUGCAUGACUUAAGUCAAACCCAACUACAUUGGGCUAGGUUGGGCUUCUACAAAAUGGUCCACCCACAUGUUUUAAGACCAAGGGUCCAUUAGGAUUACUUGGAGACUACCGUAAAACCUUUCAUUCAUGCCUAUAUAAAAUAAAAAGGCUACAUAUUCUCUUUGGAGGCAUCUUGAAAAUUCUAUAACAUCUUGGCAGAUUCUAAGAUGGGAUUGGACAAAGACAAGAGAGUGCUCAACUGGAACAACGGCCAACAAAGACCAAUUACUUAGAUAACGAUUCUUCCCCUUCUCCUUUAAGGCUUUAAGGCGAACUGUAUGGAUGUAGGAAAGAAAGACGUCCUCACCUUCUCUAGUGUUAGUGAGAGCAAUUUGAGUAUCCUUCAUGCACCUCCUUUCGUAGAUAGAAUCUUAAUGAGUGGAAACAAGCAACCUUACUAAGAAAGGUGCUUUUUGAGUAAGGCCCACUUUCAAGCCAACCCUUGGUAUAGGUUGGGAACUUGAGCGCAUGAUUGGUCCAUUGAAGAUUGUACAAGCCCAACGCAGGCAUGCAUACACUUAUAUCAUGAUCAUGUCAAUGCCAUCAACAAGCCAAAUAUCAUUUAUUUGUUCUAUUAAGUACUUCUUUCACGUCAUUAGCUUUAAAAAAUUGUCUCCCUUUACUGGUUCACCUCGAUGAAAAACUUAAGAAUUGCCUAGCUUCAGAAGGUCAUCAAUAAUAUUUGAUUCCAAGAAAUUAGCAACCAAUUCACCCAAAAAAAUAAUUGUAGUCGAUAGUCAAAUACCAGAUUUAUUUGACAUCAAGAACAAGCAUCCACAAAAAACUAUUAAUUCAAUAUUGAGCAAAACUCCGCAAAUCACGACAACACCAAACUGAAACAAGAUCUAAAUCUCUGAAGGAGAGACUAGCAUACUAGAACAUUAAUUGUCCCGAACAACAUGUUUUCGCCCUAGUCUAUUUCCAUUAUUAUGUAUUGCCAGCUUGGAAAGGGAUCUUCACGUGAUAUUCAAUUAGAGGAAAUACGUGUAAGCACCGUUUGUCUUAGCAACAAGUUACUCAAAAAUAUCUCUAGAACUAAAGUUUUUAUGAAGACCAAAUACACCUAUGAGAUAUAUGAAGAUGUACUCUAUCCACCUAAAAAUAUAAUAAGAUAUGAGAUGUUUAGAAGCACACCAACGUGGUGAUUGAGAAAUAAGAAAUUUUGAAAUUCCAUUUUAGUAAAAAUGUAAGUAGUGCAAUCAAAUACAAGAAAUGAUAUAAACAUCAAUUCAGAUUAUUAAUGUCGUCUUCAAGAACUGUACUGGACACUGACCUGUGUUCCUGUUCUGUCCAAGAAGCCCCUUUUCGCCAUUCUACAUCUACAAAAAAUGAUAUAAACAUCAAUUCAAAGUAUUAACUCUGGUUUUGCAUUUCAGGAUAAUUAGAUAAUGUACAUAUCCAGACUCGAUGAUAUUGGUAUCUUCAAUUAAUACAUUACAAUGAUCCUUAAUAACAUCCGUCAAUUUCCCAAGAAGUGCUUUUGCCACUUCCUCCAAUAGAUUGUUGUUAUCCUUGUUGAUCGCAAAAGUAUUCUCAAAGAUUUUAUUCUCCUCCUUAGUCCAGAAGGAGUUAUUGCAUGUUCGAUCAGUGUUCAUUUUCUUUUAGAUCUACAAGGUUAGCUCAAACAUGAAAAAGGUAAGCUCUUCAAGAGGAUUCAAAAAACGGAUAAGUGUCAAUAUAUAACCAAAAUUUAUCAUAACUAUCGGGCAUCUAAAAUAAGAUUUUUUGUAACCCCUGACACUUAGAAAUCAGAAACAAUCUCAACAACACACAAUCUUCUAAAUCAGUUAUGGAUACUAAGAGAGACUAUUUCUGACACACACUUGGCUCAAGUUACUUUUCUUAGUAUCCAUAACUGAUUUAAAAGAAUGUGUGUUGCCGCGAUUGUUUUUGAUUACUAAGUGAUAGAGGUUACAAAAAAUCUUAUUUUAGAUGCCCGAUAUUUAUGGUAGUUUUUGGUUAUAUAUUGACACUCCUCCGUUUUCUUAAUCCUCUUGAAGAGCUUUAUCUUUUUCAUGUUAAAGCUUUCGUUGUUGAUCUAAAAGAAAAUGAACACCGAUCGGACAUGCAAUAACUCCUUCUAGACUAAGGAGGAGGAUAAAAUCUUUGAGAAUACUCUUGCGAUCAACGAAGAUAACAACAAUCUAUUGGAGGAAAUGGCAAAAGCACUUCUUGGGAAAUUGACGGAUGAUAUUAAGGAUCACUAUAAUAUCUUAAUUGAAGAUACCAAUGCCAUCGAGUCUGGAUAUGUCCCAUUACCUAAUUAUUCUGAAAUGCAAAACCAGAAUUCAAAAGCAUAUGUAGAAUGGUGAAAUGGGGCUUCUUGGACCAAAUAGGAACACAUGUCAGUUUGCAGUACAGUUCUUGAGGACGACAUUAAUAAUCUGAAUUGAUGUUCAUAUCAUUUCUUGUAUUUGAUUAGACGUCUUACAUUUUUACUAAAACGGAAUUUCAAAAUUUCUUAUUUUUCAAUGACCACGUUGGUGUGCUUCUAAACAUCUCAUAUAUUAUUAUAUUUCUAGGUGGAUAAAGUACAUCUUCAUAUAUUUCAUAGGUGUAUUUGGUCUUAACUGCAUCACCAAUAUAAUACAAAGUAUUAAUUCCAACUUCUGAGUUCCACAAUAUUUUCAGAUUAAAUAUGUAGGUUUUUACUUUUUAAAAUUGUCAAUGGUUAGGCUUGCUUUCAUGAGAAGUGGAUGAGUAUUUGUAAGAUAAUAAUUUUGAAGUGGAUGAGUAUUUGUAAGACCAAACCAUUGUCUCACAGGCUCCAUCUUUGAGUUUAACCCAUCUCCCAAAUUAAUCUUCCCUACUCCUCACCGACCAACAAUGCACUUUCACAGAGCCAAAACCCAGAACAAUUCGCUUUCGUUUAACCCCAUCUCGCCCGCCAACUGUUCGAUACAAUUCCUCAACCAACAAUUGUCCUUUUGGAACACAAUUAUCAUUGGGUUUAUCUGUAAUAACAUGCCCCAUGAAGCAAUUUCAUUCUAUUUCGAUUGAAACAUGUGGGUUCAUCCGUAUGUGAUCAGUAUACUUAUUCCUCUGUUAUCAAGGCUUGCGCGGAGACCAAACGGAUUCUUGUAGGUAAUGCUGUGCAUUGCCACAUUCUGAGUUCUGGGAUUCGUCCUAGUAGGAUUGUUAGUAAUUCUUUGUUGAAUAUGUACUCUGCUACUUGUCUUACAUUGGAUAAUGGUUCUGAUUGUGAUUUUGUUGAAAGGGUGUUUAGAACUAUGCGUAAAAGAAUGUUGUUGGGUGGAAUACUAUUUUUUCUUGGUAUAUGAAAAGGAAGAGGUUUUCGGAAGCAGUGAGGUGCUUUGUUAUGAUGAUGAGAUUAGGCAUUAAGCCAACUGUUGUUAAUUUUACUAAUGUUUUUCCUGCUGUAUCAGAAACAGGGGAUGUUAGAGUUACUGAUUUUCUUAAUGGAUUGCUUGUGAAAUUGGGUAAUGCAUAUGUAAAUGACCUGUUUGUUGUUAGUGCUGCUAUUGUUAUGUAAGCUGAGCUUGGCUGUGUUGAUUUGGCGACCAGAAUAUUUGAGAAUACUUGUGAAACAAAUACAGAGAUCUGGAACUCAUGAUUAGCGGGUACAUUCAGAACAAUUUUCCUUUUAAAGCAGUUGAUCUCUUUCUUGAAGCUGUAGAAGCAGAGGAUGCUGUUACUACUGAUGAUGUGACAUUUGUAUCUGCUCUUAUGGCAACUUCACAGUUGCAGCAUUUUGAGUUUGCCCAACAGCUACAUGCAUGUCUGAUAAUGAAAUGCAGGGAUUCACAGGUUAUUUCGUUUAAUGCUAUGAUAGCCACAUAUUCUAGGUGUAACCAUAUUGGCAAUUCACUUUAAGUUUUUAAUGGAAUGAAGGAAAGAUAUAUUGUGUCAUGGAACACCGUGGUGUCUGCUUGGUACAGAACGAACUGGAUAACGAGGCUUUGAUGCUUGUAUAUGAGAUGAAAAAGCUAUGGGGUUGCAAUUGAUGAUAUAACAAUUACCAUCCUGCUUUCUGCGGCAUCAAAUCUUAGGGACAGGGAAAUUGGUAAACAGACCCAUGCUUAUCUUCUGAGGCACAAUUUUCAAUUUGAAGGGAUGGAGAGUUACCUGAUAGUCAUGUAUGCCAAAUCUAAUAUGAUUAGAGAAGAACGAGCAAUAUUCCAGUUGAACUUCACAUAUGAUAAAGAUCAAGCCACGUGGAAUGCUGUGAUUGCUGGAAACACUCAGAAUGGAUUAAUUGAACAAUCCUUUGUUGUCUUCAAGGAGAUGCUUGAGCAGAAUGUGAAGCCAAAUGCUGUGACCUUAGCAACAAUCCUCCCAUCAUGCAGCCAGUCAGGAAGUAUAGCAAUAGGCAAGCAGCUACAUUAUUUUGCAAUUCGCUAAUUGUUUGAGGACAAUGUUUAUGUUGUUUCUGCUUUGGUAGACAUGUAUUCAAAAUCAGGAAUCAUUGAUUAUGCUGAAAGUGUUUUCUAAAAUCUCCUGAGAAGAACUCUGUGACAUAUACAAAUAUGAGUUUGGGAUAUGGCCUUCAUGGGAUGCGUAGGAAAGCUCUAAAACUGUUCUACUCUUUGCGGCAGAAUGGUUUAGAACCAGAUGCUGUUACCUUUGUGGCAGUCCUGUCUACUUGCAGCUACACCGGAUUGGUUGAUUAAGGCCUUCAAAUAUUUGAGCUGAUGGGUGAAGAAUAAGGGAUUCAGCCGUCAGCAGAGCACUAUGCUUGUGUGGUUGACAUGUUAGGAAGAGUUGGACGGUUGGAUGAAGCUCAUAAUUUUGCUAAACAGUUGGGUGUUGAGGGUAAUAACUUGGGAAUAUGGGGAUCACUCCUUGCAGCCUGCAGAGUGCAUAGAAAUUUUGAAUUGGGGAAAAUUGUUUCCAGUUAGCUGCUUGAAUUCGAGGGGAAUGAUGGAAUUUCUGGUUAUCAUGUUCUGCUUUCAAAUAUAUAUAUGCAGAGGAAGGAAACUGGCAGUCUGUAGAUAACGUCAGAAGAGGAAUGCGCAAAAUGGGAUUGUCAAAGGAGGUUGGGUGUAGUUGGAUUGAUACUUCUGGAUAUCCACACUGUUUUGUAUCUAAAGAUAAGAAGCUUCCUCAGUACUGCAUGAUAUAUGAUAUGUUGGGAUAUUUAACCAUCAAUAUGUAGGAUGCUGGCUAUAAACCUAAACUUGAACUAAUAGAAGAGUGGAUCUAUGGGCUAGAAGAAUGAAAAGCUAUUAGUUCUCCCACAAUGUUGUUGUUCUCCGACUAUGUACCUUUGUAUUCAUGACAUUUUUGGACAGGAUUUUGCUAGAGUUAAUAUGAUCGUAGUUUAUCAGUGACCAGCUGCCUUUGAAAUUCGAGGUAAUUAAGUUGUGUUUUAGCUUUUUUUAGUUUAGUUUUUUCUUCUGAAUUAUGCUUUUUUAGUUUGUAAAGAUACUCGGAAGUAGGAUAUUCAGUUAGUGAAAUGUAUGCAUAUUUCUUUAUUAAUACAGAGCAAUCAAGAAUAUCCAUUUUACCUUUUUGGUGGGAAAGGAGGAGUCCCAGGUAGCAAAAGAAUGGUCUUAUCCAAGGCGACAACUUCUAUCAUGCUGUCAGAUUGAGUGAAGCACAUUUAAAUUAGGUGACCAGUUCUUUCCUUUGAAUGACUUAUACUUGUUCUGCAGGUUGACUUUUAAACUAUUGUAUUAAGGAUAUUUGAUAUAGUGUUUGCAAGUUCAUGAGUGUUCUUAUAUUGGAGCCAAAUGGCAUUAAUAACACUUGUUAAGGUUGGUCCGGAUAACUAUUAAUAUGUCUGCUAAGGUUGGUUCAGCUAAUCAUAGUAUGUGAAUAUCAAUGGAACUGGCAUAAGUGGAGUUUUUCAUUUCUGAAAAUGGUUCUGAAGCUACAACAAAUCAUAUAGAUAAGAUAAUCUCUGAAAUUUUCCUUAUUAGGCUGUCGGCUUAUAUUAUUGGACAUUGACAAACAAAACUUUCUAUAAAUUAGGUCUAGUUCUAGUGAUUAGUAGGAGGUUUUAUUGAGUAAAUAUGUAUAUAUACUUUUGCCAACCAAUUAAGAUUCGAGUCCAUAUUAUCUUUGCUUGGUUUAUUAGGUUCCACAUGCUUGCUUUCAAGCUGCUUGUGUCAAUUUAAUGUGAAUUAUUGCCCUUCAGUUUUCACAAGGGACAAAGGGCGUAACGGCAUCUUAUUUUGGAGUUUUUGUCUUUUUGGAUAAGGUAAAUAAUUUUACUAAGAGUUAAUGGUCAAAAACACAUCCAAACUAUCACUUUUUGCGAGUUUCAUACCUCAACUAUCAUUGUUCGCUUUACCUACCUAAACUAUCACCCUUGUUGUAUUAUAACUCACCUUGGUGUUGGGUGGUUCAUUUGUGAACAUGUAGGGUAUAGAAUGGUUGUUUAUUAUCUUAAGAUAAUAUGCUUAAGUGAGUGAGAAACUGAUAAAGUCAUAUGGUACAUUAAUUCCGCUUGAUCCUAACAUUCGUAAUUUCUAAAUAUCUCUCGAUUAUCAAAAGGGGUUCCAUCAUCUUUCAUAAGAUGCACAUUGUGAACUAGUAGUGUACUACAGGGUUUGGCAUCCAAUUUUCCAGUUUCUACAAGUAGGUCAAGAAUGUACUUUCUGUGUGAUAGAAAAAUUUCCUUCUUUCUUCUAUUCACUUCUACUUCCAAAAAGUAUUUCAACUCGCCUAUGUCCUUCGUAUGAAACCUAGUAGUGCCAGUUGCAGAUAAUCGAUAGAAAACAAAGUGAUCACUAUGCUCAUUUUCAGCCCACACACCUAAACUACCUCACUAGACUUGCCAAACCAAUCUCAGGGACUCUGGUUUAAGCCAUACAAGGACUUUUGAAAUUUUAUUUUAGUAAAAAUGUAAGUCGUGCAAUCAAAUACAAGAAAUGAUAUAAACAUCAAUUCAAAUUAUUAAUGUCGUCCUCAAGAACUGUAUUGGACACUGACAUGUGUUCCUGUUCUGUCCAAGAAGCCCCUUUUCGCCAUUCUACAUCUACAAGAAAUGAUAUAAAUAUCAAUUCAGAUUAUUAAUUUUGGUUUUGCAUCUUAGGAUAAUUAGGCAAUGCGACAUAUUCAGACUCGAUAACAUUGAUAUCUUCAAUUAAUACAUUACAGUGAUCAUUAAUAUCAUCAGUCGAUUUCCCAAGAAGUGCUUUUGCCAUUUCCUCCAAUAGAUUGUUGUUAUCCUUGUUGAUCGCAAGAGUACUCUCAAAGAUUUUAUCCUCCUCCUUAGUCUAGAAGGAGUUAUUGCAUGUCCGAUCAUUGUUCAUUUUCUUUUAGAUCUACAAGGAAAGCUCAAACAUGAAAAAAGGUAAGCUCUUGAAGAGGAUUCAGAAAUCGGAUGAGUGUCAAUAUAUGACCAAAAACUACUAUAAAUAUCGGGCAUCUAAAAUAAGAUUUUUUGUAACCCCUAACACUUGGUAAUCAGAAACAAUCACAGCAAGGCACAUUCUAUUAAAUCAGUUAUGGAUACUAAGAAAAGUAAUGAGUGACUAGUAAAAGAAACAAACAUGAAGAUACAUGUGGUAUACUACCACAGAAGUCCCCAGAGAUGCGAAAUAUAUUAUGAAAGCAUUUGCAUUCUUUACCUUUUCUAUCGGACGAAAGGUUUUAUAAUAAGAAAGAAGAGUCCAAAGAAGAAAACUAUUUGUCUCAAGAUAAGAAAAAAAAUAUAUCAUUGAGUAUAUAUUUUUGUUUUUGUUAGUGAUGCAAAAAAAAGAUUUAUGGCCUUGUACCACAUAACGGGAAAGAAAUCAUGUCAAUCCAACAUAUGCUAUCAAAAAAAGGGAAAACCCAGAUUCCCUUGUAACACAAUCUAACCACUAAUAACUAGGGAAUGUGCUAAGACAAAAUAUAUCCUGGGCAAGAAAUCAAAAGAAAAGCUAUACAAAUUCUUGUUUUUCCUUUUUGAGAAACUCAAAUCUCUACACAUUAAUUUUCAGCAAUGGAAACCAUAUUAAAGAAGAGUCCCUAGAAAGUGGUGACACAAUUUCUCUCUCCUGAGAUAGAAACAAGAUGAAUCUCACGAUAAUUCAAGUAGGUCAGUAUCACUUUGCAUCUCUUCAGAAUCUACACCAAAAACAAUAUAUAAAUCAACCAUUUGUGAUUGAGUGCACAUUCUCUUUUGUCGUCAUUAUCUUUAUACAUCAUGAAAUAGCAAAUUAUUGAUCAUUUGAAUGGAAGAUUUACAGAACCAACAAGCAAUAACAUACGAAGUGUAAUCCCAUAAGUGAGUCUGGGAGGGUAGUGUGUACCUAGACCUUACCCCUACCUUGAGAGGUAGAGAGGCUAUUUUCGAUACACAUUUGACUCAACGAAAAACAUAUAGAGUGGAUUCGAUAAAGGGAAGGUUUACAAAACCAACAACAACAUCAUAUUCAGUGAAAUCUCACAAGUGAGGUAUGGGAAGGGUAGAGUGCCUAUAAACCUUACCCUACCUUGGGAAGUAGAGAGGUCAUUUCUGGCUGAUCCUUAACUCAAGGAAAAACAUAUCAAAGCAAAUCGAAAAAGGAAAGCUUUAUAGAACCAUGACAUAAAAUCUUAAAGGGAAAGAUAUGAACGAUCUUACUUUUUCCCUUCAAAGAACUAAUCAUAUCUCUAAAAAUUAACUUUCCUAAAUACAAAGCAUGUUAAAGAAGAGUACCAAAAAACGUCAGCACAACUAGCAGAACCUGAUGAUCACAAAGCACAAUCAAAACAAACUUCUGAGUGAAUCAAUCUACAGUUAUAAGUUUUAUCACCUAUGAAAACAAGCAUUCAACCAAAAAGGAAUCAGACACAUAUAUGUACUUAUAACUGAGAUAGAUUCGUCUUUGGUUGAAUGCUUGUUUUCAUAGGUGAUACAACUUAUAACGGUAGAUUGAUUCACUCAGAAGUUUGUUUUGAAUGUGCUUUGUGAUCAUCAGGUUCUGCUAGUUCUGCUAACGUUUUUUGGUACUUUUCUUUAACAUGCUUUGUGUUUAGGAAAGUUAAUUUUUAGAGUUAUGAUUAAUUCUUUGAAGGGAAAAAACAAGAUCUUUCAUGUCUUUCCUUUAAGAUUUUUUGUAAAGCUUUCCUUUUUCGAUAUGUUUUUCCUUGAGUUGAGGGUCAGUUAGAAAUGAACUCUCUGCCUCCCAAGGUGCGGUAAAGGUCUAUAAACACUCUACCCUCCCCAUACCUCACUUGUGGGAUUUCACUGGACAUGAUGUUGUUGUUGGUUUUGUAAAUCUUCCCUUUCUCGAUCCACUUUAUAUGUUUUCCUUGAUCCAAGUGUGAAUUGAAAAUAGCAUUUCUACCUCUCAAGGUAGGGGUAAGGUCUACGUACACUCUACCGUCCCCAGACUCACUUGUGGGAUUACACUUGGUAUGUUGUUGGUUCUGUAAAACUUCCAUUCAAAUGAUUAAUAAUUUGUUAUUUCAUGAUGUAUAAAGAUAAUGACGACACAAGAGAAUGUGCAGUCAACCACAAAUGGUUGAUUUAUAUAUUGUUUUUGCUGUAGAUUCUGAAGAUAUGCAAAGUGAUACUGACCUACUUGAAUAUCAUGAGAUUCAUCUUGUUUUUAUCUCUGGAGAGAAAAAUUGUGUCAACAUUUUCUAGGGACUCUUCUUUAACAUGAUUUCCAUUGUUGAAAAUUAAUGUGUAGUAAUUUGAGUGUUUCUCAAAAAGGAAAAGCAAGAAUUUGUAUAGCUUUCCUUUUGAUUUCUUGUCCUGGAUAUAUUUUGUCUUAACAUUCCCUAGUUUUAAGUGGUUAGUUUGUGUUACAAGGGAAUAUAGGUUUUUUCUUUUGAUAACAUAUGUUGGAUUGACAGGAUUUCUUUUCCAUUAUGUGCCAUAGAUUAUUUUUUUUGCAUCACUAACAAGAACAAAAAUAUAUACUCAAUGAUAUAAUUUUUUCUUAUCUUGAGAUGAAUAGUUUUCUUCUUUGUACUCUUUUUUUGAGAUAAAAUCAUACACAAAAUGGUGGGGUACGCCAGGCCAAUGCAGUAGUGCAACGCAAGAGCCCAGGCAACAAACUACCUUAAUGGACUCUUCCCCUUAAAAAUUAAGUUAAUAUCGUGUGGACCAAUGGCCCACAUAUCAGAUAUUAAACUGAUAAGAACAGAUACUACACUUGAUCUUAGCCAAAAGGCCGAGAAAGGUAUUCUUCUUUCUUAUUAUAAAACCUUCCGUCCGAUAGAAAAGGUAAAGAAUGCAAAUGCUUUCAUAAUAUGCUUCGUAUCUCUGGGGACUUUUGUGGUAGUAUACCACAUGUUUGUUCCUUUUACUAGUCAUUCAUUACUUUUCUUAAUAUCCAUAACUGAUUUAAAAGAAUGUGACUUGCCACGAUUGUUUCUGAUUACUAAGUGUCAGGGGUUACAAAAAAUCUUAUUUUAUAUGCCCGAUAUUUAUAGUAGUUUUUUGUCAUAUAUUAACACUCAUCCAUUUUCUGAAUCCUCUUCAAGAGCUUACCUUUUCUUUUUUUUUUGAUGACAAGGGAAACCCUCAGCUGCUACCCUUUGGGUGCGCACAGGGUAAAACCCCCACUCCUAUGCAAUAGCUCGCAAACCACAUAGGAGAUGUAACCCGCACUAGGCAAGCCCGGUGCGACGAGCUCGACCCAGAAGGCAAACCCCUUGCUUUCGCUGGCAAGGGGUUUCGAACUUGAGACCUCCAACAUGGAAGUCCCAAACCACUGGGCCACCCCGAAGAGUCUUACCUUUUUCAUGUUUGAGCUUCCCUUGUAGAUUGGAAAAUGAACACCGAUCGGACAUGCAAUAGCUCCUUCUGGACUAAGGAAGAGGAUAAAAUCUUUGAGAAUACUCUUGCGACCAACGAGGAUAACAACAAUCUAUUGGAGGAAAUGGCAAAAGCACUUCCUGGGAAAUCACUAUAAUAUCUUAAUUGAAGAUAUCAAUGUCAUCGAGUCUGGAUAUGUCCCAUUACCUAAUUAUCUUGAAAUGCAUAACCAGAAUUCAAAAGCACAUGUAGAAUGGCUAAAAGGGGCAUCUUGGACAGAACAAGAACACAGGUUCUGAUUCCAGUACAGUUCUUGAGGACGACAUUAAUAAUCUGAAUUGAUGUUUAUAUCAUUUCUUGUAAUUGAUUGCACGACUUACAUUUUUACUAAAACGGAAUUUCAAAAUUUCUUAUUUCUCAAUGACCACAUUGGUGUGCUUCUAAAUAUCUCAUAUAUUAUUAUAUUUCUAGGUGAUAGAGUACAUCUUCAUAGGUGUAUUUGGUCUUAACUGCAUUACCAAUAUAAUACAAAAUAUUAAUUCUGAGUUCCACAGUAUUUUCCGAUCAAAUUUGUAGGCUUUUAAUUGUCAAUGGCUAGGCUUGCUUUCAUGGGAAGUAGACUGACUCUUCUUCAUAUACAUCAAACGAUUCAUGAAACUGUAACCACUCCACUUGUUGAUUGCAGGUUAGGUCUCCUCAGAUGAGGCUCUAUAUCUAAAAUGUCAACUCAGCCUGGGGUAUAACAACUGUGUGUGCCCGCUGAACUUAAUUUCUUUGUCAAAAUGAAUGGAAACUUGAGACCAAGAGGCCGAGUUUGAUAGAAAUUUGUUCAACUUACAAAGCCAUGCCAAAUAUAAAUUGUGGCAAAGCAAAUCUAUUUUUGAGUGCUUCAGUUGUCUUGACUCUCUUGCAACUUUCAGUUCAAGAAUCAGACAUCCUGUAUAUUCUAGCGACACCAAAUUUGGAGCAUCAAUCUUCCUUGUGCCACCCGAAUCGUCCUUAAUCUUCAAGACGUUUUGGAAUUGAGAUCUAGAAAUAAGGUGCUCGAGAUUCCAUCACAUGUCCACAUGAGGUGAUAUGAUAUAUCUAAAGAUUUCAGAUUCUAACAUUCAAUAACAUCCAAAUUGUCCGGUGAAGAACUAGAAUAAUAUAAGUGUUCAAGAUUGAUGCUUUAACACCCUGGUUUCUUGUUGUACAAAUAGAAACUGACUUGAUCUUUUGAAGAUUUAGCAGCUCAAUCUUUUUCAACCUUCUGUAACAAUGCUCAAGUGUGAGUUAGUGAUUGACUUCCAUCUCCAACUACUUUCUUAGAAGGCUUUACAUUUGAGUGAGGAGCACUAAAAGUAUUUUUGACCUCCAUCACCUGACAAAAAAGUAACAGCAUCGCAAAAAAGAUCGCGUUGAAGUUGGUUAUAAGUGAAUUUCGUCAUCUGAAUAGCUAAAUAAUCAUUUGGCAAAGGUAGUUCUUAAAUGUUUACUUCUUUUUCCUUCUAUCUUUGUAUACAUUCUUUGUUUCCGGGCAGGGGGUGAAGGACAUAAGAGAAGAUUUUCCUAUAGGUAAGGAAGAGGUGAAAAUGGAGCAUUAGUCACUGAGCCCAUGGACGAAGAUAAUGAUAUCAGUUCCAUUUUUUAUGUUGGGAAAGCACCAACUGCUCAUAGAGGAAUGUCUGGUUAUAUAUGCAGCUGCAGGGGAGGCUCCUGCUUAGUCACAUCCCUUUGCCCCCUCAGCUAAACUCCCGUUGACGAUGAAGACUUUUUUUAUCUGCAUGACUUGUUCACAGAUCAGACGUUCUGAUUUGGUGGAGGAAAAGCUGUUCAUGUUGAUAUUAGUUGCUCACAACCAGAUAGGUUGUUAACGUUGAUACUGCACUUAGGUUUUUGCAGACUUAUUACAUUAUGUUAGACAGUAUUGCUAUUCUUUAACGUAUGUUUAUCAAUUAAAUGAUCAAAAUGGUCCUUAAUGUAUGGGGUUGAACUAUUUUAGUCAUUCAUAUAUACCUCGUAAUCAUAGUAAAAGUGACCCUUUUCCUACAGCCACCACCCUUAAUGUAUCACUUUUUUUGUACAUUAAGGACUACUUCGAUUACAUGGUAUAUAUGGACUAAAAGGAUUACUUUUCUGUACAUUAAGGACUAUUUCUGUUUGAACACCCCCUUCUGACAUAUUAUGUGAACUCCUUGUCUUGUGAAAGUAAUUGCCAAUGUGGUUUUUAGUUGUUGCAGCAAAUAUAUUUCUGGUAAUUCACAGCAAAGUUCACAUUGAAAACAAAACACUGAGAGAGUGUCCAUGAACAUCCCUUUGCCAUCUGAAGCAAGUAAAAGGCGUAUAGAUACCACUAGUUCUAUGAGUUCAACUGAACUUAUUGUCUUCGACUCAACCUAAACAAAAGAAAGAAAAUGCAUGCAUACGUAUAAUAAGAUCACAGUCAUUCUGAACUCAUUAACUGGUUAUUAUUGUCUAACUUUGAAAUAUGCGCUUUGCUAGUUAUCUCAAAUCUUGUCAUCAGUAUCACCUUCAAUUGGAGCUGCUACAUUUAUGUAUAGCUUCUGGCCAUUGAUGCAACUACCAUAAUUGCCGGAUUUGAAGAAAUAAUCUCCAGGUACCAACAUGAAUGCUAUUGCUGGACUAUCUUUGUGCUGCUUUGAAGGAGUGCUGGAAUUGCAUGCAUAAUAGUUGUAUUUUCCAAUCUCCAACAAAUCCUCUGGCUUUUGGAAUCUAAAUUCUACAAAUAAAAUGGUACCAAAACAUAUUAAUGCUUGUAAAAUUAGAUACAAUAUGUAUAUAGGUACACGAAAAAUAACUUUCUAAAAGAUAAAUAAAGUUAUGAACCAUAUUCAAAGGGAGUGAAUUGACACCCCUUGCCAGAAAAACCAACACUUUUAUUGAUUUGAUUUGGUUUAUGAAGUUAUAAAACCGACAUAGCUGGUUUGAUUUGGUAAAUGAAAAAAUCGAACUAAAGAACCAUCUAUAUGUACACCCCUAAAAUUAGUUAGUACCUUUAUAUCCUUUCAAACAUAGCUAAAGAAAGACUUCAGGCCAAAUUAGAUAUGAGGAAAGGAUGAAAUGACAAGAAGAGUGCUUGGUGAGGAGACAACACGAGGAGGAAAUUCUCGCGACUAAGGAAGCACGUCCCUUAAAGGGAAAGCCAGAGAAGGAGCCUGCUGGACAGCCUCACCUUCUGCUCCCAAAUUAGCAUAUCCAAAUUAUGAGAAAGCCUAUAGACGCUGCAAUUGCAGAAUUUGCACCUUGCAAAUGUCUAUUUGUUCAAGUAUGUAAAUAAAUUGCACACACGAUUCAAUUAAUAAUGGAAAAUUGUAUAAAAUAGCAAAUUAUUAAUUCAAAAUAAAUGUUAUAACCAUAGUUUCAAUUAAUUUUGAUUUGUGGCAAACACUUUGCCAUUCGCCUCUCUCCCUUUAAUCUCGCUCGCCGCUCUCCCUCGCCUCUCUCACUUUAUACAAACACAAAUGUAUAAAUUGUGUUGGUGUUUGCAGUGGCGUACGCAUGAUUUUUUCUAAGCGGUGUCACAAUUAAAGAGACAAAAAUGGCUCAAGAAGAAAAUCAAUGAAAGUUUUGUUUUAGACCUCCAAAAAUUUGAGGCCUCUUUUAAUUAGAUAAUAUUUUAAAAUUUUAAAUUAAACCAUUCACAUCUUCAUAUUAUUAAAUAAAGUUUGAUUCAUUAUCUUGUUCUUCCAAGUCAGUUGUAGCUUGAGUCGUUAAAAUUGGCUUUGAACAUUUUUUAUUUUUUUUAGAAUAAUACUCUCCAUUAAAAAUUUAGACUAAUAUGAUGUGAUCUGCCCAAUAAAUAAUUGAGGAUCAAAUAAUAGAGGAUUGCGGACAAUUUUAAUCAAUUUAAUGAAUUCUAAAUUAUUUCAUUGUAACAAGUAGAUGGUAAAAAUUAAAAUUAAUUUUAUGAACAAAUAAAAAUAAAAAUUCAAGCACAUAAUAAAAAAAAUAGAAUAGCAAGAAAAUACUAACCUGAUGUGGAGAUUCGAGAUGUCGAUUAACAAUGAUUGAUGAACAAGAAUGGAAAGAAAAUUGAACAAACUCACACAAGUCAGAAAUAUACAAAUACAAGGAUUUAAGGAGUCAACACUAUUUUUAUUUAACUAUAAUCCUAAUUGAUAAAGGAGAUUUUGAGUUUUAUAUUAAUUCUAAAAAUAAAUAAAAAGUUGUUAGAUUUUGAAUGAAUUAGAGUGGGUGUGUAGGUUUUUAAUGAAGGGGCUAUUGUUUUGAAUUUUAAACAAAAAAUUAAUAAUUUUAAGAAAAGAAAAAAUUAAAACAUGAAUAAAACAAACAAAAAAAUGAAUAAAACAAACAAAAAACAUGAAUAAAAAAGAGAGAAAAAACAACCCCGGGGAAUCGAACCCGUGAUGUUUCGCACAUUAUGUUGUGCCUCUACCAUCUGAGCUAGGCGCAACCUGUUACAAGGGGAGUCCUUUCAAUUGUUUUAACCUUUAGUUGUUUUUUUGUUUGUUUUUUAUAUAGGUAUAUUCGGUAAAAAAAUUCGACGAAGCCGUGUCACUUGACACACCUUAGAUAUGCCUAAAUCCGCCUCUGGGUGUUUGUAUAAAGCGAGAGAAAACUGUAUAUACAAAUUUAAAUACAUGUCUCUUCGUCCUAUACACUUAUAAUUAUAUAAAUAUAAAUCUUCUCCUGCCCAGUUCGCGUUUGUCUUUCUUUCUUUCUCGCUUUAUACAAAAUACAAUGCAUAAUUUGUGUUUGUAUAAAACGAGAGAGAUUUGAUAUACAAAUAUAAUUGACGUUAUUAUAUUUGCAUUUAUGAAAAUAUUUAUCUCACAAAAAUUAGCUAUUAAGUAAAUAAUAAAAAUUAAACUAAUACAAACUUCAACUGACGUUAUUACAAGUCAUAUGAACUUUUCUUUGUCUAAAAUACUGAAAUAUUAAAAAAUAGUUAAUAAGUAAAACAAAAGGGUAAUGUUUAUAUAAUAAUAACUAUUCUGAAGCAAACUUCCUAACAAUCUAAAUCACACAAGUAACAUUGAUAAAUAAAGUUAUUCUUUUGUCUUAAGCAUAAAAAAAAUCGUGACAAUUCUCUAAAUUUUGAAAAAAGAUAUUCAGAAGCAUAUAUCUACAUCACAAGAGAAAUUGUUAACAAAAAUAAAUGAAUUUAGACUACAUCAUGUUAACUUCAUCUAUUGGAACAUUACAUACUAAUGUAUAUAUUAAGCAAAAAAAUAAUUAUUAUAUCAUCAAAAUUAUUUUCCUCAAGUACUCAAGGUUAUGGAAUAUACCCUUUUAGGAUAGAAGGACUUACUUCAUCAGAAUAAUGAUACUUCAUAUUCCGCUAAACUUCGAACUCAUCCAAUGACAAUAAAUCACACAAAAAAAAUUAUAAUGCAAGAAGAAGAGUAGAAGAUUAAAAAAAAUUGUUCAUCAGAAUAGUGGUUGACUAUAUAUUAUCUCUAUUUAUAGUUAACAAAGGAUAGUAUGAACAAAUAUUUUUUGUAUCUUAUCUGAAAAGUCAUGACAUUUCCGAGAAUUCACAACCCUUUGGAAAAGUCACAAUUUAUUGAAAAAGUCACAACUCUUUGGAAAAGCCACAACUCAUCGAAAAAUCACAACCCUUUGAAAAAAGUUACAACUUAUCGGAAAAGUCACAACUCAACAAAAAAGUCACAACCUAAGUUAGGGAUAUUAUAGUAAUUCAACAUUCAAGUUAUGAGUUCAUGUUUUUAAGGUAAUAUAGAUAUAAAAAAGAUAUAGAUAUAGAUAUAGAUAUAAAUAGAUAUAGAUUAAUUAAUUUAUAUAAAAAAAACAAUUACUCCAUCUGUUUCAAAAAGAAUGACCAAAUUUCCUUUUUAGUCUGUUUCAAAAAGAAUAACCAAAUUUCCUUUUUAGUCUGUUUCAAAAAGAAUGAUCCAUUUCCUUUUUUUGUAACACUUUAACUUUCCACGUGAUAUGUUUAAAACCACAAAAUUAAAGGACAUUUUAGUACAUUUAACAUAACUUUGAUUUAGAACCACUAGAUUAAAAAGUCAAACUAGGUCAUGAAGACUACUUGUUAGGUUAAAACUGAAAAAACAAAUUGAAAUAUUGAAGAGAAUGAGUAUUUGUACGACAAAACCAUUGUCUUCUUUCUCUUCCUUCAACUUUCUCACAGUCUCCAUCUUUGAGCUUAACCCAUCUCCCAAAUUAAUCUUCUCUACCCCUCACCGACCAAGAAUGCACUCUUACAGACUCAAAAUCCAGAACAAUUGGCUUUUGUUUAAGCGAAUCGUGAAGACAAGGCCAACCCCAUCUCGCCCGCCAACUGUUCGUUACAAUUCCUCAACCAUCAACUGUCCUUUGGAACACAAUAAUAGUUGGGUUUAUUUGUAAUAACAUGCCCCAUGAAGCCAUUUCAUUCUAUUCUCGAUUGAAACAUGUGGGUUCGUCCGUAUGUGAUCAGUAUACUUAUUCCUCUGUUCUCAAGGCUUGCACGGAGACCAAACGGAUUCUUGUAGGUAAAUCUGUGCAUUGCCACAUUCUGCGUUCUGGGAUUCAUACUAGUAGGAUUUUUAGUAAUUUUUUGUUGAAUAUAUACUCUGCUACUUGUCUUACAUCGGAUAAUGGUACUGAUUGUGAUUUAGUUUAAAGGGUGUUUAGAACUAUGCGUAAAAGAAAUGUUGUUGCAUAGAAUUCUAUUUUUUCAUGGUAUGUGAGAAGGAAGAGGUUUAUGGAAUCAGUGAGGUGUUUUGUUAAGAUGAUGAGAUUAGGCAUUAAGCCAACUGUUGUUAGUUUUAUACUUUUAUUAAUGUUUUUCCUGCUGUAUCAGAAAUAGGGGAUGUUAGAGUUGCUGAUGUUCUUUAUGGAUUGCUUGCGAAAUUGGGUAAUGCAUGUGUAAAUGACUUGUUUGUUGUUAGUGCUGCCAUUGUUAUGUAUGCUGAGCUUGGUUGCGUUGAUUUGGUGACCAGAAUAUUUGAGAAUACUUGUGAAAGAAAUACAGAGAUCUGGAACUCUAUGAUUAGCGGGUACAUUUAGAACAAUUUUCCUUUAAAAGCUGUUGAUCUCUUUCUUUAAGCUGUAGAAGCAGAGGAUGCUGUUACUACUGAUGAUGUGACAUUUGUAUCCGCUCUUAUGGCAACUUCACAAUUGCAGCAUUUGGAGUUUGCCCAAUAGCUACAUGCAUGUCUGAUAAAGAAAUGCAGGGAUUCACAGGUUAUUUCGCUUAAUGCUAUGAUAGCCACAUAUUCUAGGUGUAACCAUGUUCUACUCUUUGCAGCAGAAUGGUUUAGAACCAGAUGCUGUUACCUUUGUAGCAGUCCUGUCUACUUUCAGCUACACCGGAUUGGCUGAUACAGGCCUUAAAUAUUUGAGCUGAUGGGUGAAGAAUACGGGAUUCAGCCAUCAGCAGAGCACUAUGCUUGUGUGGUUGACAUGUUAGGGAGAGUUGGACGGUUGGAUGAAGCUCAUAAUUUUUCUUAACAUUUGGGUGUUGAGGGUAAUGUCUUGGGAAGAUGGGGAUCACUCCUUGCAGCCUGCAGAGUGCAUAUAAAUUUUGAAUUGGGGAAAAUUGUUUCCAGUAAGCUGCUUGAAUUAGAGGGGAGUGAUGGAAUUUAUGGUUAUCAUAUUCUGCUUUCAAAUAUAUAUGCAGAGGUAGGAAACUGGCAGUCUGUCGAUAGCGUCAGAAGAGGAAUGCGCAAAAUGAGAUUGUCACAGGAGGUUGGCUGUAGUUGGAUUGAUACUUCUGGAUAUCCACACUGUUUUGUAUCUAAAGAUAAGAAACAUCCUCAGUACUGCAUGAUAUAUGAUAUGUUGGCAUAUUUAACCAUCAAUAUGUAGGAUGCUGGCUAUAAGCCUAAACUUGAACUAAUAGAAGAGUGGAUCUAUGGGCUAGAAGAAUAAAAAGCUAUUAGUUCUCCCACUAUGUACCUUUGUAUUCAUGAUAUUUUGGACAGGAUUUUGCUAGAGUUCAUAUGAUUGUAGUUUAUCAAUGACCAGCUGCCUUUGAAAUUCGAGGUAAUUAAGUUGUGUUUUAGC